UACGUAGGGGGCAAGCGUUGUCCGGAUUUAUUGGGCGUAAAGAGCGUGUAGGCGGUUAGGUAGGUCCGUUGUGAAAACUCGAGGCUCAACCUCGAGACGCCGAUGGAAACCAUCUAACUAGAGUCCGGAAGAGGAGAGUGGAAUUCCUGGUGUAGCGGUGAAAUGCGCAGAUAUCAGGAAGGACACCCGUGGCUAAGGCGGCUCUCUAGUACGGUACUGACGCUGAGACGCGAAAGCGUGGGGAGCGAACAGG
rnacentral:rRNA from 1 species